GAGGAUAUAGCUCAGUGGUGGAGCACAUGCUUAGCAUGCACAAGGUCCUGGGUUCAAUCCCCAGUACCUCCA
rnacentral:tRNA from 1 species